AUACGUAGGUGGCAAGCGUUGUCCGGAUUUAUUGGGCGUAAAGCGAGCGCAGGCGGUUUUUUAAGUCUGAUGUGAAAGCCUUCGGCUUAACCGGAGAAGUGCAUCGGAAACUGGGAGACUUGAGUGCAGAAGAGGACAGUGGAACUCCAUGUGUAGCGGUGGAAUGCGUAGAUAUAUGGAAGAACACCAGUGACGAAGGCGGCUGUCUAGUCUGUAACUGACGCUGAGGCUCGAAGGCAUGGGUAGC
rnacentral:rRNA from 1 species